AUGAGAACAGAUGGAGCUGCUGGAGAAGAGAAUUGAAAUACUAUACAAAAGAAAAGGGCAGUGUCACUGAUGGAAUGAAGACUACAAAUUCUAAAUACGGUUGAAGGUACCACUUCACAAAUCAUAUAGGCUUGGAUCCAUAGUGUUCCUUCUGCAAAUGGAAAUGGAAAUGAUGGUGAUGAUAAUGAGAUCCAGCGAAGGCUCCUGCUGCAGAAAGAGGAAAGUGACUUUUGCUGCAAGGGCAACUCCUCACAUUUUUCUGACCCUGAAGACAAACUACUGGGGACCAUCAUCAAUUUCACGUCCUUUUUGGGAGCUUCCAGAAACAAUUAGAUGACCAUUGGUAUAAAAAAUGCUAACCUUAUCCAAAAAGGCAAUCCUUAUAUAACAUUCCUAAACCCUAGAUAUGUCCCAUAUAUAUUUCUGCUGUAUUUCUGUUGUUAUGAACAUUUUAGGAUUUCUUUUAUGAUGAUUAUAAUUUUUAACAUGUUAAUCGUCUGUUCUAACAUUUAGCUUUUGUGAAUUGCAUUGUUGGGCAUGUGUUGUGUUGUUGUGACCCACCCUGGAAUAAUUAACCAA